AACAUUAUAAACGAUUGUCUUUCGACAUUGUCUUUCUUCAUUCAGUCGUGGUAGUGUGGAGGUACAGUGUGUGGCGUUGAUGGUGUGAGGAUGAGUUGGUGACUAAGGCGGCUCGUUGAUUGAUUUUUGGUACGGUUGGAGCUUCUUUUGAGUGAUUCUCAUGGAAGGGUGUUGGUGGACGGUGAUUGGGGAUUUUAUUACGACUGCCGUGGAGUAGAGAGGGUGUUCCCGCUACUUUGUUGCGUUGAGGGAUUGCAGUAAGGGUUAGUGUUCUGUUCAUGUGAAUGCUUUGAUGACUCUAUUGUUGUGUGUAAUUGUUGUUUAAUACGUUGAAUAUUAGACUGAUGAUAAUGUUUCAAUUUCAAUGUGGUGUGUGCAGUGGAACUUUAAUCUGAUUGAAUGAAUUAUGAUUGUGAUUCAAUUUGAUAUCAAUUAGGAUAUAGCCAAUUUAUCAUUAAUUUUGUAGCCCAAUAGUAUGUUUGUAGGCUUUAUAUUGUAGUGUCUGUAUCCAUUUUUUGCUGCUAGAAGUGACACAAUCAAUUCGAGUCUUAGUUGGUUAUUUUGGUUGGUUUGAAGUCAUCCACAUGUAGAAGCUAAAAUUCUUCAAGAGAUAAAAGAAAAUUGCAUACACCAAGAUGGAACUUGGAUUGCUUCCGGUAUUGAGUUUGGUAAGUUAGCUUAUCUCCAUGGAGCUAUAUGUGAAGCACUGAGGUUUUUCCUACUAUGCCUUAUGAUGACAAGUGUGCAAUGAAAUCAGAUACACUUCGUAGUGGACACCAUGUUAGUCCAAAUACCAUGAUAUUAUAUUGUUUGUAUGCAAUGGGAAGAAUGGAACAAAUAUGGGGACAUGAUUGCAUGGAAUUUAACUGUGAGAGAUGGAUUUCAGAAAGUGGAGAGUUUAUACAAAUUCCAUCUCACGAGUUCAUAGCUUUCAAUACAGGCCCUAGAAGUUGUUUGGGUAAGGAGAUUGCUUUUAUUGAAAUGAAGAUGGUUGCAGUUGCUAUACUUUGGAGGUUUUAGAUAAAGGUGGUUGAUGGUCAUCCUAUAACAGCAAGGGUCUCUAUGUUGCUUACCAUUGAACAAGGGUUGAAGGUGAAAGUUACCAAAAGAUGCACCUGAUAUCUAUAGAGAUCAUUUCAAAACCAAAUGAUAUACUUUUAGUUUCCGCUUUCUUUGUUACGGCUAAAUAAUGUUGUUAUCUUAUAAAAUUUUGAAUUUGAAGGAUUUUUUAACAAGUCUUACUCACAAUUUUGUAGUUUUUAAUAAACAUUAAUUUAGGUAGAAGUGCGUUAAGAAAUGUAUUAGAUAGUGUUAUCCUCCCCUUUUCUACGAUAGAAUAUGAGGAUAAAGGGAAGAUUUUCACACUAAGAAGUGGAAACUAAGUUAUUACAAUGUUUAAUUGUGCACUUGGAAUUGUUUAAAGAGCAUUUUCCAGAGCUACUUAAGUUGCAAAUGUAAAAAGCAAGUAAACUUCAAAUGUUUCAUGAUACAAAGCUGUAAAAACUCUUGAAAUUGUGCUUAAAAUGAUACAAAAUAGUAAGAUGAAAAAUUUGGAUUGUGUGCAGCUCCAAACUAUUUGAAAAGGUUGGUGCAGAGGUGAUGAAAUGCUGCUGAAUUCAAAAGCAAGAGUACAACUUUGAGAGCAACUCCCUUGGCCAAUUCUACAAUCUCUCCACUUUCUAGGAUGCUACCCUCUUGGAGAAAGGUUUCUACACCUUGAACACCUCACCAAUACGUCACAACACCAAAGCAAACAUCAAACCAGUCAACAAAAACCAACUUUUGCACCAGAUUUGCAAUUUCACGAACCAGAUUUGGUGGUAUGAUUUGGAAGCCAAACAAGUUGAAUUUAAUUGAGUUUAAGCAUUGAAUCAAUGGAGGGACACCAAAGGAACCUAGGAAAGGCACUAAAACAGAUUAAACAAGUAAGAAAAAUCAAAUCACAUAUCAAAAAGUUUCAGGAAAACUGAUGAUAAAUUACAAAAGUGUUUGAUAAAAUGCCCCAAUGAAAUACAAAUUUUGUGUUUUCUGAUUUUUGGGCUUCAAAACUGGAUUGCACGGUUUUAAUUGCUUUUUAUGACUUGAUUACACUUCUUUGUAGGGCUGGUCAAAAUUUACUGAACUGUACUGAACUACAGUUAUCUAUACUUUAUUAUACUAAAAAAAAAACUGAACUAAAGUAUACUUAAAAGUAAUUAACUUAUUCUUUAGUUCAGUUUAAAAAAACUGAACUUUAUGCAGUUAACUGUUUGUACUGCAGUUAACUAGUUAAAUGUGGAUAAUAAUAAAUUUGUUUCUUUUCUU
rnacentral:lncRNA from 1 species